rnacentral:rRNA from 1 species
CCCUUAGAUGUUCUGGACUGCACACGUGCUACACUGGCAGGUUCAGCGAGCUUCAUGCCCUGAUCUGAAAGGAAUGGGAAAUCUUUUCAAAACCUGCCGUGCUUGGGAUAGAUGUUUGCAAUUAUUCAUCUUCAACGAGGAUUGCCUUGUAAGCGCACGUCAUCAGCGUGCAUUGAAUACGACCCUGUAUUCUGUACACACCGCCCGUCGCUCCUACCGAUUGAAGUUUUCGGUGAGUUGACAGGAGGAUUUUUUUGAAACUGGUUCGCCAGUGGAUUUUAGAUCCAAAUGCCAACGAAUCGAUGGCUUUAGAGGAAGGAGAAGUCGUAACA